AGCGAACGCUGGCGGCAGGCCUAACACAUGCAAGUCGAACGAAGUCUUCGGACUUAGUGGCGGACGGGUGAGUAACACGUGGGAACGUGCCUUUAGGUUCGGAAUAACUCAGGGAAACUUGUGCUAAUACCGAAUGUGCCCUUCGGUGGAAAGAUUUAUCGCCUUUAGAGCGGCCCGCGUCUGAUUAGAUAGUUGGUGGGGUAAUGGCCCACCAAGGCUACGAUCAGUAGCUGGUCUGAGAGGAUGACCAGCCACAUUGGGACUGAGACACGGCCCAAACUCAUACGGGAGGCAGCAGUGGGGAAUCUUGCGCAAUGGGCGAAAGCCUGACGCAGCCAUGCCGCGUGGAUGAUGAAGGUCUUAGGAUUGUAAAAUCCUUUCACCGGUGAAGAUAAUGACUGUAGCCGGAGAAGAAGCCCCGGCUAACUUCGUGCCAGCCGCCGCUGUAAAAC
rnacentral:rRNA from 1 species